rnacentral:rRNA from 1 species
GUGAACGCUGGCGGUAGGCCUAACACAUGCAAGUCGAACGGCAGCACAGUAAGAGCUUGCUCUUACGGGUGGCGAGUGGCGGACGGGUGAGGAAUACAUCGGAAUCUACUUUUUCGUGGGGGAUAACGUAGGGAAACUUACGCUAAUACCGCAUACGACCUACGGGUGAAAGCAGGGGAUCUUCGGACCUUGCGCGAUUGAAUGAGCCGAUGUCGGAUUAGCUAGUUGGCGGGGUAAAGGCCCACCAAGGCGACGAUCCGUAGCUGGUCUGAGAGGAUGAUCAGCCACACUGGAACUGAGACACGGACCAGACUCCUACGGGAGGCAGCAGUGGGGAAUAUUGGACAAUGGGCGCAAGCCUGAUCCAGCCAUACCGCGUGGGUGAAGAAGGCCUUCGGGUUGUAAAGCCCUUUUGUUGGGAAAGAAAAGCAGCAGGUUAAUACCCCGCUGUUCUGACGGUACCCAAAGAAUAAGCACCGGCUAACUUCGUG